GGUCUUCGGAUGCUGACGAGUGGCGAACGGGUGAGUAAUACAUCGGAACGUGCCUAGUAGUGGGGGAUAACUACUCGAAAGAGUAGCUAAUACCGCAUGAGAUCUACGGAUGAAAGCAGGGGACCUUCGGGCCUUGUGCUACUAGAGCGGCUGAUGGCAGAUUAGGUAGUUGGUGGGGUAAAGGCUUACCAAGCCUGCGAUCUGUAGCUGGUCUGAGAGGACGACCAGCCACACUGGGACUGAGACACGGCCCAGACUCCUACGGGAGGCAGCAGUGGGGAAUUUUGGACAAUGGGCGAAAGCCUGAUCCAGCAAUGCCGCGUGCAGGAUGAAGGCCCUCGGGUUGUAAACUGCUUUUGUACGGAACGAAAAGCCUGGGGCUAAUACCCCCGGGUCAUGACGGUACCGUAAGAAUAAGCACCGGCUAACUACGUGCCAGCAGCCGCGGUAAUACGUAGGGUGCAAGCGUUAAUCGGAAUUACUGGGCGUAAAGCGUGCGCAGGCGGUUUUGUAAGACAGUGGUGAAAUCCCCGGGCUCAACCUGGGAACUGCCAUUGUGACUGCAAGGCUAGAGUGCGGCAGAGGGGGAUGGAAUUCCGCGUGUAGCAGUGAAAUGCGUAGAUAUGCGGAGGACACCGAUGGCGAAGGCAAUCCCCUGGGCCUGCACUGACGCUCAUGCAC
rnacentral:rRNA from 1 species